ACUCUCGGCAACGGAUAUCUCGGCUCACGCAUCGAUGAAGAACGUAGCAAAAUGCGAUACUUGGUGUGAAUUGCAGAAUCCCGUGMACCAUCGAGUUUUUGAACGCAAGUUGGGCCCAAAGCCUUUUGGUUGAGGGSACGUCUGCCUAGGGGUCACAAAUCGUGUCGC
rnacentral:rRNA from 1 species